rnacentral:tRNA from 2 species
GCAGGUGUAGUUAAGUGGCAUAACAUCAGCUUCCCAAGCUGAAUUUGUGGGUUCGAUUCCCAUCACCUGCUCCA